rnacentral:rRNA from 1 species
AGUGAACGCUGGCGGUAGGCCUAACACAUGCAAGUCGAACGGCAGCACAGUAAGAGCUUGCUCUUACGGGUGGCGAGUGGCGGACGGGUGAGGAAUACAUCGGAAUCUACUUUUUCGUGGGGGAUAACGUAGGGAAACUUACGCUAAUACCGCAUACGACCUACGGGUGAAAGCAGGGGAUCUUCGGACCUUGCGCGAUUGAAUGAGCCGAUGUCGGAUUGGCUAGUUGGCGGGGUAAAGGCCCACCAAGGCGACGAUCCGUAGCUGGUCUGAGAGGAUGGUAGGCCACCCUGGAGCUUGGCCACGGUCCAGACUCCUACGGGAGGCAGCAGUGGGGAAUAUUAGGCAAUGGGCGCAAGCCUGAUCCAGCCAUACCGCGUGGGUGAAGAAGGCCUUCGGGUUGUAAAGCCCUUUUGUUGGGAAAGAAAAGCAGCAGGUUAAUACCCCGCUGUUCUGACGGUACCCAAAGAAUAAGCACCGGCUAACUUCGUG